rnacentral:rRNA from 1 species
GCCAGCAGCCAUAUCACUCUGCAACUUACAACUCACAACUGGCAACACACUGAAGCUAAGCAGGUGUGAGCCUGGCCAGUACCUGGAUAAGAGACCUCCUGGGAAAAACUAAGGUUGCUGCUAGAA